UGCGGAUGCUGAUGAGCGACGACUUGCUGUAGAGCUGGCCGCUCUUGGAGCGGGCCUCGGCGUAGAAGGAGCGCAGCACGCGGCACAGCGCCCCCUUGUCCAUGGUCUCGAAGUCCGGGCUCUGCGCCUUCUCGCUCAGGGACCCAUCACAGACCUUGGAAACCACCAGCUGAAUCAGGUUGUCCUUGUCUAUUAGGCUAAGAAAAAGAAAUCUCCAUCUUUUCCUGCUGUUUAUAAGAGAAGAGAAAGCAAUUUUGUCUUAGAAAAUGAAGCACGAACAUCGGACUUCAAGUCUGAGCGAGAACACCCAGGAAGAAGGCCUGGAGGUGCAUUCAAGAAUUCUACAAGUUUACCUGCAACACAUAAACUUUCAUGUCAUUUUCAGUGACUUUGAUUUUAUUGGACACUGGCUUGCUUCUUCGGUGUCCCAGCUUACUUUUGUGAAUAUAUUAGACUGUCUUUAACUUGCUGCUUGAUACUUGUGUGUGGGUGAACACGCUUUGUUUCCAGAACUUCUUCCCUGUGGGUUGUUGAACUAUUACUGCCAGUUUUUCUUUUUCUUUUUUCAAAAGGAGAUGGAAAAGCGGGUUUAGUACUAAGGAUUAACUCAGCAGUGGUUGCUAAACUCUUUGAAAUCAUUAGAUGAAAGGCAAAAAUAGAUCUGUCCUAAGUCUACAUAUUAUUGCUGCUUUGUUAUUAUUGUGAAAAAUUGUUAUUCAGAGAAUAUUUUAUUCCUAAAUAAAUUCUCUCUGGAGUUAUGAUUUAACUGCUA